rnacentral:lncRNA from 1 species
AUGUCCCUCAGGCACAAGAGUGUCUCUGGCUUUCUUGGGUGGGUUGCUUGUCUUGGUGGAGAUAGUGACUGAAAGCACAGAGAGACCUACUGAGGGAGAUUAGACAUGGCUCUUUAGAGGAAGAACUGCUCCAUUGCUCCAACACAGUGGAGCCCCAAUGAGAAGAGGCAGUCCAUGGUUUUAAGGUGUUUAUUAUCAUGGUAGAAAGUUGUGGUGAGUGAAACAUUACCCCACUUUCUCAGGGUAAGCCUGAGGUUAAAUACCUUUUGCAAGAAGGAAUGUCUUGGAAGGGGAGCUAAGAGGAUAAUAGAGGCCAAGAAUAGCAGAGAGAGGGAGAGAGUAGAGAAGUAGAGGCUUGCCAUGGCUACAUGGAGAGAAUAAAGAAGGAAAUGCAGAGAGAGGGGGAGCAAGAGGGCAAGAGAGAGACACAGAGUAAGAGAGUAAGAGAGGGAGGAAGGGGCAAGCAGCCCCUUUUAUAGUGGGUUAGGUAACUAUGGGGAGGAGCAAACCUGGCUGUUGCCACAUAAUGGGGGGUGGAGUCCAGGCAGAGUACCAGGGGCUUGGGGCAUUGGACUAAGUGACUGAGGGCCACAGAAUUAUGGAGAGCUGAGGCCUCCUGUCAGGUGCUUAGUGUCAGGGAGCAUGACAAAUAGCCUUCUGUGCCUUGCAGGAACACCUGCUGGGUGUCCAGAGUUUAAAACUACCUUGGCCAGAAAACUGGCUGCCUUUCACAGUCCCACAACUUUAAAUAUUCUUUCUUUGUUCGGUGUGUUUAGUAUUUUGAUUAUUAUGUCACUAAAGGAUAUUCUUUUCUGGUCCUAUUUAUUUGGUGUUCUAUAGGUUGUUCCUUAGUUUCUGUUUCAGAUCUGUGUAUUUGGAGAAGGUGCUGGCUGUGUGUUGCUUGUUUACCUGCCUGGGAUGUUCAGACAGUAUGUUCACAGAGAAUGCAUGCUGGUUUUGGAGGGUAUUUAAUUGGGAUGAAGUGGAAGAAAAAGGUUGGAGGAGAAGAUCUUUGUGAACCAUUGGAGUUGGGGUCAGAGAGAAAAGAAAGACCACAGCAUGUUUUUAACUACAGAUGCGGGGGUGCUUUGGGGGAUUGCAUCUCAGGAGAAACAUGGUCUGCCUUUUUCCAAGUAUUGCCUGAGAGGAGCUGUCUGUGGGUAGUAGGAGUUGCAUGCUAGAGUUGGGGUCUGGGACAAAUAAAUAAGUGAGUAUAAGUAGGUUAGGAGCAAAUAUUUUGUGGAAUCCACAAGAGAUGUGUCCGGGGGUGGGGGGGUGGGGGUGGGGGGAAGGUUGUGGCUGAUGUUCUUCUGCUGUGUAAGAAAGGAGACUCAAAGAUUUUGUCUAGGGGAGGGAACAGACAGUGAUGAGAAUGUCUGUGGGUGGCCUAAUUAAUUUUCUAGAAAGAUGAAUUUCUAUUUUAAUUAAAAGUGUCAAAAAUAAAUUUCAAAAAUGAGAAAACAAAUUAAUUCCAAGAGCUGAGAAGGUGGAUCCCUGAAGUUCUUUAGAGAGUCAUUUAUUAUGUCUCAAACAAUGAGGUCCAGAUUCAAUGAGAUAUUCUGCCCCCAAAUAAAAGAUAGAGAGUAAGUGAUCAAGAUAUUGGGUAUCUUCCUCUAGCCCCACACUUACGCAUAGAAAUUAAAAUUGUGCGUGUACCAUAUACAGUACAGAUAAAUGCAUAUAUGUAGACAAAGACUAAAAUCACAUGAGAUAGCACAUAUUAUAGUCAUUAAUAUUUUGUCAUGUUCUCAUUGUGAUAUAUAGAGAUAGAGAUAGAUAGAUAGAUAGAUAGAUAGAUAGAUAGAUAGAUAGAUAGAUAGAGGUGUGUGUGUGUUAAAAACAUUCAUACACCUAUAUUAACAUUGUUUAUCUAACAUUUUUCAUAGGCUGAGGUCAAUAUCACAUGGAAAUCAUAUUUGUUUUUGAUCAUUAGUUUCAAAAAGGAGGUUUUAAAUAUAUUAUUGGUAGGAUGGAAACCUAUACUAGAUCUUCAUAUGAAAGUCAAGAUGAGAGUGUAUUUUGUUUUAUUACUAUGAAAGUUUGGCAACUAACUGAUCUUCAACCUAUACAGAAAGUUAAUUUUUCAAUAAUAUUUUAUGAUUUUCAUGUACUUUGUUUAGUGUUUUACAAUUUUAAUCUUUCAAUUUAGUGGAAAAAUUUAUACUACCAAUUAAUUUUUUAUGUUUUUUGAUGGUUUUAAUUAAUAUGAAACAGAUUUUAUGAAAACAUUCCAAAUUUUAUUUUAUAAAUACUACACUGGCAUGUGUUUCUGCUUUUGUUUUGAAAGGUAGUGCAACUUCCAUCUUUUAUUACUGAAAUUUCAAAGCUUGUCAUUCUGCUUUGGAUAACUUAUGUGUUUUUAAAGAAUUUAAUUACUGAGUAGAAUUCCUGGAACAAUCCAGUUGUCAAACAAAUGUUUUAAUUGAUGAGGAAAGGUGGUUAUGGUUGAGCUGUAGAAAACAGAUUUGUUAAUGAAAGUUGGAGUAAGAGGACAAUAAUGUUGAAUGUGCUAUUGCUGUUUUAAAGGCUGUGCUCUAGGCUUGUGUGUGUGUGUGUGUGUGUGUGUGUGUGUGUGUGUGUGUGCCAAAGUGCUCAUUGCUAAAAUCCUUUUAUUAUAAGGAUCAUUGACCUGAGUUCAGAUUUCUAGAAUAUAUGUAAUUAGUUUGUUGGUGUGUGCUUAUAGUCCUAGCACAGGAACAUGAAUAGUUUUAAAAACUCAAUGGGCUUCCUCAUUUUGUUUACACAUCAAAGUUUGCAGAUGUUGAAAUACCCUGUCUCUAUAGCAGGAAGUUGACUGAAGGAAGAUAUCUGAGAUUGUCUUUUGACUUCUGCGUGCACACAUGUGUUUUGGUGUGCACUUAUGCCAAACAUACAAAUAUACACAGUUACUUUCUAGCUGGAUUAGAAUGAUAAAUAAAUAGAAAAUGAGCAGUAUGUUUAUGAAAGGAAUGUAUUAGUGUUAUUUCCUAGAAUUAGGUAAAAAUAUAAAGGGGGGCUAUCGAUUAGAAGCAGACUAUCAUUUAUAUGUCCCAAUAUAAUUCAUAAACCUGCUGUAUCAUUCACAGCCAAAAAUAUUGCUUACAAAGGUGCCAAUUUUCAACUUUAUGUGUCACUGAAUUUACUUUAAAGAUAUGAAACAAGAAAUUUAUUAUAUGACUUUACUGUUUUUCCUAAUCAGACACAUUCUUCUUAAUUAACAUUAAAUGACUCAUUACAUAGGAUUAAGAGGGAUUCAAGGGCUAAGACAGUAUACUGCUCUUUCAGAGGACCAAGUUCAGGUUCAAGAUCCAUAUCAGGCAGUUCAAGUUACUCUUUGUUUAUAAAACGUCAGAGAUUGGUAGGGGCCAGAGCCACUUUUGCUGUUAGUUACUAUGUAUGCUGGGUUGCCUGACUUGUGAGUACCUAUGGUUCUCCUGUCUCAGACUUUUGAUUUUGCCUUAAAAGUGAUGAGAUUGCAGAUAUGCAUCACCAUGUCAGAUUUGUCCAUGGUUACUGGUGAUUCAAACUCAACCCUUCCACUGGUGUGGCAAGCACUUGCAAAGCCUAAGCCAUCUUGCCAGCUCUGGGAGGCAGAUAUCUUCAUAAAAAGAACUGCAUGGAAGAGGCAAAUGUCUGAAGCAAGAAGUAGAGAGCCUUCAGAUGUUUAAUAAAUUACUUAGUUAUUACAGAAGUACUUUUUCAAAUAUUUUUAAUUUUAAAUAACUCAUUGUUUCAGACAGGAAAACAUGGAAACAUUAGAAUAAUUUGUUUUUAUUUUGCUUGCAUCAGUUAAAAACAAAACAAAACAAAAACAAAACCAAAAAAACCCAGCUCCUUCAAAUACCAGGAUAUUAUCAUCCAACUAAUGUCUGUGAAAGAAAAUUAAUGGUGAAUAACAAGGAUUUUUUUUUCUUAUUAUUUGAACUCCGAAAACUUUGACAUC